rnacentral:tRNA from 1 species
GAAGGUAUAGCUCAAGUGGUAGAGUGUAUACUUAGCAUACACAGGGUCCUGGGUUCAAUCCCCAGUACCUCCU